GAUGAACGCUGGCGGCGUGCUUAACACAUGCAAGUCGAACGGGAUCUAGUCAGCUUGCUGACUGGUGAGAGUGGCGAACGGGUGAGUAAUGCGUGACCAACCUGCCCCAUGCUCCAGAAUAGCUCUUGGAAACGGGUGGUAAUGCUGGAUGCUCCAACUUGACGCAUGUCUUGUUGGGAAAGUGUUUAGUGGCAUGGGAUGGGGUCGCGUCCUAUCAGCUUGUAGGCGGGGUAAUGGCCCACCUAGGCUUCGACGGGUAGCCGGCCUGAGAGGGCGGACGGCCACAUUGGGACUGAGAUACGGCCCAGACUCCUACGGGAGGCAGCAGUGGGGAAUAUUGCGCAAUGGGGGAAACCCUGACGCAGCGACGCCGCGUGCGGGAUGAAGGCCUUCGGGUUGUAAACCGCUUUUGAUUGGGAGCAAGCCUUUUGGGUGAGUGUACCUUUCGAAUAAGCGCCGGCUAACUACGUGCCAGCAGCCGCGGUAAUACGUAGGGCGCAAGCGUUAUCCGGAAUUAUUGGGCGUAAAGAGCUUGUAGGCGGUUCGUCGCGUCUGGUGUGAAAGCCCAUCGCUUAACGGUGGGUCUGCGCCGGGUACGGGCGGGCUAGAGUGCAGUAGGGGAGACUGGAAUUCCCGGUGUAACGGUGGAAUGUGUAGAUAUCGGGAAGAACACCAAUGGCGAAGGCAGGUCUCUGGGCUGUUACUGACGCUGAGAAGCGAAAGCGUGGGGAGCGAACAGG
rnacentral:rRNA from 1 species